rnacentral:rRNA from 1 species
CGCCUCUUGAAUGUCAGAACGACUCUCGGCAACGGAUAUCUCGGCUCUCGCAUCGAUGAAGAACGUAGCGAAAUGCGAUACUUGGUGUGAAUUGCAGAAUCCCGUGAACCAUCGAGUCUUUGAACGCAAGUUGCGCCCGAAGCCUUCGGGCCGAGGGCACGUCUGCCUGGGCGUCACGC